ensembl:lncRNA
UGCGUGUGUGUGUGUGUGUGUGUGUGUGUGUGUGUGUGUGUGUUUGAAGCAGCACAAGUUGGCUGUUUUUAUGCGAGCACAUCCACAGAGACACUUCUUGGUUCCCACGAGUCGGGCAGAGAGACGUGGAUCUGGAACAGAAGUGAGCAAGCCAUCAGGCUGGCUCUGUUCCUCAUGCUGGACUCUGACAGACACGAGAAUGGCAGGCUGACAUGAAUCAGGGCCAGGUAGACGAGAGCUGAGACGCUACCGCCCUGGAGUCUUCCAGUGUUCCCUUGCUCACUUCCUUUG